UACAGAGGGUGCGAGCGUUAAUCGGAAUUACUGGGCGUAAAGCGCACGUAGGUGGCGACGUAAGUCGGGUGUGAAAGCCCCGGGCUCAACCUGGGAAUUGCAUUCGAGACUGCAUUGCUGGAGUACGGAAGAGGAAGGCGGAAUUCCCGGUGUAGCGGUGAAAUGCGUAGAUAUCGGGAGGAACAUCAGUGGCGAAAGCGACUUCCUGGACCAGUACCGACGUUCAGGCACGAAGGCGUGGGGAACAAACAGG
rnacentral:rRNA from 1 species